GACGAACGCUGGCGGCGUGCUUAACACAUGCAAGUCGAACGGAAAGGCCCUGCUUUUGUGGGGUGCUCGAGUGGCGAACGGGUGAGUAACACGUGAGUAUCCUGCCCUUGACUUUGGGAUAACUUCAGGAAACUGGGGCUAAUACCGGAUAGGAGCUCCUGCUCCAUGGUGUGGGUUGGAAAGUUUCGGCGGUUGGGGAUGGACUCGCGGCUUAUCCGCUGGUUUGUGGGGUAGUGGCAUACCAAGGCUUUGGCGGGUAGCCGGCCUGAGAGGGUGACCGGCCACAUUGGGACUGAGAUACGGCCCAGACGCGUACGGGAGGCAGCAGUGGAGAAUAUUGCACAAUGGGGGGAAGCCUGAGACGGCAGUCCCGCGUGCGGGAUGAUGGCCUUCUGGUUGUAAACCGCUUUCGCCUGUGACGAAGCGUGAGUGACGGUAAUGGAUAAAGAAGCACCGGCUAACUACGUG
rnacentral:rRNA from 1 species